GUCCACUGAACCUUAUCAUUUAGAGGAAGGAGAAGUCGUAACAAGGUUUCCGUAGGUGAACCUGCGGAAGGAUCAUUGCCGAGACCCGCAAGACAGACCCGCGAACACGUUCCGACCCGCACGGGAGGACGGCGAAGGGAGCGACCAACGUCGUCGCCGCCCCGCGCCGGACGCCCGCCCCGUCGACGCGCGCCCCGGCGCCCGUCGCGUGGCCCAACGAACCCCGGCGCGAGAAGCGUCAAGGAACACUCCGAACCUCGCACGCCCCCCGGAGCCCCGUGCGCGGCGCGCUCUCGGGGAUCGGCCGUGCGUCGAACACAGAACGACUCUCGGCAACGGAUAUCUUGGCUCUCGCAUCGAUGAAGAACGCAGCAAAAUGCGAUACUUGGUGUGAAUUGCAGAAUCCCGUGAACCAUCGAGUUUUUGAACGCGAGUUGCGCCCGAAGCCCCCGGGCCGAGGGCACGUCUGCCUGGGCGUCACGCACAGCGUCGCCCUCCACCUCCGCCCGUAACGGGGCCGCUGGUGUUGGGCCGGACACUGGCCUCCCGGGCGCGUCCGCGCGCGGUUGGCCCAAAUGCGACUCGGCGUCGGCGCGCGCCGCGACGAUUGGUGGUCGAAGACCUCGACUCGCGCGUCGUCGCGCAGGAUCGCGCCGUCCGUCGGGACGUGUCGACCCCGAAGGUGCCGCCGCGCACCUCGACGGCGACCCCAGGUCAGGCGGGAUCACCCGCUGAGUUUAAGCAUAUCAAUAAGCGGAGGA
rnacentral:sRNA from 1 species